rnacentral:rRNA from 1 species
UACGUAGGGUCCGAGCGUUGUCCGGAAUUACUGGGCGUAAAGAGCUCGUAGGUGGUUUGUCGCGUUGUCCGUGAAAACUCACAGCUCAACUGUGGGCGUGCGGGCGAUACGGGCAGACUGGAGUACUGCAGGGGAGACUGGAAUUCCUGUGUGAGCGGUGGAAUGCGCAGAUAUCAGGAGGAACACCGGUGGCGAAGGCGGGUCUCUGGGCCACUACUGACGCUGAGAAGCGAAAGCAUGGGGGAGCGAACAGG